rnacentral:rRNA from 1 species
AACGAACGCUGGCGGCAUGCCUAACACAUGCAAGUCGAACGAGACCUUCGGGUCUAGUGGCGCACGGGUGCGUAACGCGUGGGAACCUGCCCUUAGGUUCGGAAUAACUCCCCGAAAGGGGUGCUAAUACCGGAUAAUGUCUUCGGACCAAAGAUUUAUCGCCUUUGGAUGGGCCCGCGUUGGAUUAGCUAGUUGGUAGGGUAAAAGCCUACCAAGGCGACGAUCCAUAGCUGGUCUGAGAGGAUGAUCAGCCACACUGGGACUGCGACACGGCCCAGACUCCUACGGGAGGCAGCAGUGGGGAACAUUGGACAAUGGGCGCAAGCCUGAUCCAGCAAUGCCGCGUGAGUGAUGAAGGCCUUAGGGUUGUAAAGCUCCUUUACCCGGGAUGAUAAUGACAGUACCGGGAGAAUAAGCUCCGGCUAACUCCGUG